rnacentral:rRNA from 1 species
AAUCUACCCUUGGGUUCGGAAUAACAGCGAGAAAUUGCUGCUAAUACCGGAUGAUGACGUAAGUCCAAAGAUUUAUCGCCCAGGGAUGAGCCCGCGUAGGAUUAGGUAGUUGGUGUGGUAAAGGCGCACCAAGCCUACGAUCCUUAGCUGGUCUGAGAGGAUGAUCAGCCACACUGGGACUGAGACACGGCCCAGACUCCUACGGGAGGCAGCAGUGGGGAAUAUUGGACAAUGGGCGAAAGCCUGAUCCAGCAAUGCCGCGUGAGUGAUGAAGGCCUUAGGGAAGAAAAGCUCUUUUACCCGGGAUGAUAAUGACAGUACCGGGAGAAUAAGCUCCGGCUAACUCCGUGCCAGCAGCCG